UACGGGGGGGGCAAGCGUUGUUCGGAAUUACUGGGCGUAAAGGGCUCGUAGGUGGCCAACUAAGUCGGACGUGAAAUCCCUCGGCUUAACCGGGGAACUGCGUCUGAUACUGGAUGGCUUGAGUUCGGGAGAGGGAUGCGGAAUUCCAGGUGUAGCGGUGAAAUGCGUAGAUAUCUGGAGGAACACCGGUGGCGAAGGCGGCAUCCUGGACCGGUAUUGACACUGAGGCGCGAAAGCCAGGGGAGCAAACGGG
rnacentral:rRNA from 1 species